UCGCCUACAUGAAGCUGGAGUUACUAGUAAUCGCAGACCAGAAUGCUGCGGUGAAUGCGUUCCCGGGUCUUGUACACACCGCCCGUCACACCACGGAGGUUGGGGCGCCCGAAGCCACUUAGCUAACCCUUUUGGGAAGCGAGUGUCGAAGGUGAAAUCAAUAACUGGGGUGAAGUCGUAACAAGGUAAC
rnacentral:rRNA from 1 species